rnacentral:rRNA from 1 species
UACGAAGGGGGCUAGCGUUGCUCGGAAUCACUGGGCGUAAAGCGCACGUAGGCGGAUUCCUAAGUCGGUGGUGAAAUCCUGGAGCUCAACUCCAGAACUGCCUCCGAUACUGGUGAGCUUGAGUCCGGAAGAGGUGAGUGGAACUGCGAGUGUAGAGGUGAAAUUCGUAGAUAUUCGCAAGAACACCAGUGGCGAAGGCGGCUCACUGGUCCGGUACUGACGCUGAGGUGCGAAAGCGUGGGGAGCAAACAGG